rnacentral:lncRNA from 1 species
AAAAUAGAUGAAACCCUAGGGUUUCUAAUCUUCAACAGCGCCGCAGUCGAGCCUUGCCUCACCCCCGAAUAUUCCCGAUCUACACCUGUGAACACAAGAAAGGAAACAAAAAUCAAAUCAAACCAAAUCAAAUCAAGAAGAUUUCUCGUUUCCGUUUCUUGUAUUUUCAUUCGGCUAUAUAAAGCCAUUGUAAUUCGCGGAGAAGGGAAAAUUUCCCUUCCAGCCUCUCUAUAUAAUUCGCGCGUCCAAUUAAGUCCUCCAGACUUUAUUUAUUUA